rnacentral:rRNA from 1 species
GGGCAUUGCGGCAGCUUACACAUGCAGUCGAGGGGUAGAGUUCUUCGGAGCUUGAGACCGGCGCACGGGUGCGUAACGCGUAUGCAAUCUACCUUUUACAGAGGGAUAGCCCAGAGAAAUUUGGAUUAAUACCUCAUAGUAUUAUGUCUCGGCAUCGAGAUAUAAUUAAAGUCACAACGGUAAAAGAUGAGCAUGCGUCCCAUUAGCUAGUUGGUAAGGUAACGGCUUACCAAGGCUACGAUGGGUAGGGGUCCUGAGAGGGAGAUCCCCCACACUGGUACUGAGACACGGACCAGACUCCUACGGGAGGCAGCAGUGAGGAAUAUUGGACAAUGGGCGCAAGCCUGAUCCAGCCAUGCCGCGUGCAGGAUGACGGUCCUAUGGAUUGUAAACUGCUUUUGUACGAGAAGAAACACUACUUCGUGAAGUAGCUUGACGGUAUCGUAAGAAUAAGGAUCGGCUAACUCCGUGCCAGCAGCCGCGGUAAUACGGAGGAUCCAAGCGUUAUCCGGAAUCAUUGGGUUUAAAGGGUCCGUAGGCGGUUUAGUAAGUCAGUGGUGAAAGCCCAUCGCUCAACGGUGGAACGGCCAUUGAUACUGCUAGACUUGAAUUAUUAGGAAGUAACUAGAAUAUGUAGUGUAGCGGUGAAAUGCUUAGAGAUUACAUGGAAUACCAAUUGCGAAGGCAGGUUACUACUAAUGGAUUGACGCUGAUGGACGAAAGCGUGGGUAGCGAACAGGAUUAGAUACCCUGGUAGUCCACGCCGUAAACGAUGGAUACUAGCUGUUGGGAGCAAUUUCAGUGGCUAAGCGAAAGUGAUAAGUAUCCCACCUGGGGAGUACGUUCGCAAGAAUGAAACUCAAAGGAAUUGACGGGGGCCCGCACAAGCGGUGGAGCAUGUGGUUUAAUUCGAUGAUACGCGAGGAACCUUACCAAGGCUUAAAUGUAGUUUGACCGAUUUGGAAACAGAUCUUUCGCAAGACAAAUUACAAGGUGCUGCAUGGUUGUCGUCAGCUCGUGCCGUGAGGUGUCAGGUUAAGUCCUAUAACGAGCGCAACCCCUGUUGUUAGUUGCCAGCGAGUCAAGUCGGGAACUCUAACAAGACUGCCAGUGCAAACUGUGAAGAAAGGUGGGGAUGACUUCAAAUCAUCACGGCCCUUACGCCUUGGGCUACACCCGUGCUACAAGGGCCGGUACAAAAAGCACCCCCGGGGCGACCAGGAGCGAUCUCA